CCUACGGGAGGCAGCAGUGGGGAAUAUUGCACAAUGGGGGAAACCCUGUUGCAGCGACGCCGCGUGAGUGAAGAAGUAAUUCGUUAUGUAAAGCUCUAUCAGCAGGGAAGAAAAUGACGGUACCUGAGUAAGAAGCCCCGGCUAACUACGUGCCAGCAGCCGCGGUAAUACGUAGGGGGCAAGCGUUAUCCGGAUUUACUGGGUGGAAAGGGAGCGUAGACGGCAGGGCAAGUCUGGAGUGAAAGGCGGGGGCUCAACCCCCGGACUGCUCUGGAAACUGUACGGCUGGAGUGCAGGAGAGGUAAGUGGAAUUCCUAGUGUAGCGGUGAAAUGCGUAGAUAUUAGGAGGAACACCAGUGGCGAAGGCGGCUUACUGGACUGUAACUGACGUUGAGGCUCGAAAGCGUGGGGAGCAAACAGGAUUAGAUACCCCGGUAGUC
rnacentral:rRNA from 1 species